rnacentral:rRNA from 1 species
GCAUAUCAAAAGCGGAGGAAAGGAAACCAACAGGGAUUGCCCUAGUAACGGCGAGUGAAGCGGCAACAGCUCAAAUUUGAAAUCUGGCUUCGGCCCGAGUUGUAAUUUGUAGAGGAAGCUUUUGGUGAGGCACCUUCUGAGUCCCCUGGAACGGGGCGCCAUAGAGGGUGAGAGCCCCGUAUAGUCGGAUGCCGAUCCAAUGUAAAGCUCCUUCGACGAGUCGAGUAGUUUGGGAAUGCUGCUCAAAAUGGGAGGUAAAUUUCUUCUAAAGCUAAAUACCGGCCAGAGACCGAUAGCGCACAAGUAGAGUGAUCGAAAGAUGAAAAGCACUUUGAAAAGAGGGUUAAAUAGCACGUGAAAUUGUUGAAAGGGAAGCGUUUGUGACCAGACUUGCGCCGUUCCGAUCAUCCGGUGUUCUCACCGGUGCACUCGGGGCGGCUCAGGCCAGCAUCGGUUUUGGCGGGGGGAUAAAGGUUCGGGGAACGUAGCUCCUUCGGGAGUGUUAUAGCCCCGGGCGUAAUGCCCUCGCCGGGACCGAGGUUCGCGCAUCUGCAAGGAUGCUGGCGUAAUGGUCAUCAACGACCCGUCUUG